GGUUCUCUAAUCAGCUGUAAAUUCCACCAGGCCGUUGUUAAAUGACUAGCUGCGCAAAUAAACGCUGUAUCAAAAUAUCACGCACCUGGUGCAAUUUACAGCUGAUUAGAGAACCGGCUUUACUGACGAGAUACGCAUUAAUGAUCGGCCAAUCUUGAUCGGUGCACCCCUAAUUUCUGUAUUUUCUACCUUUUAGAGGAAGUUACAGUGGACAGUGAUUUGGAGGAGUCCACUUCUAGUCCAAAAGAGUGCACCACAGUAUCAUCAUCACAGCACACGGUUUGUGAGAACGGCACACUUCCAGCAGACCCAGUCUCCAAAAAAAGAGAGGUUACGUUAAGAAGACGGCCUGGAACAAACUUGAGAUACAGGCUGUGGAGAAGCAUAUGAUGAGGUUUAUUAACAAUCACAAAAUUCCAGGAAAGGCAGACUGCAUGAGGUGUAAAGAGGCGGAACCACUUGCACUUAAAAAUAGAGAGUGGUCUACACUUAAAUUUUACAUCAAAAAUCGAAUCUCCGCUCUAAACAGAAAUAUCUGCCAAAUUAAUUGACACACUGUCAGACUGAAUUGUGCAUUGGUAGAAACAAGCUUUUAUAGUUUUAAAACAAGCUUCCAUAGUCAAAUGGUUAGCGCAAUAGACCAUCAGUUCCAUAUUAUUGUUUGGAAAUGUAGAUUGUUCUUUCGAAAAUUCAGGCAUUUUAAAUAACUUUUAGACUGGAGUCUUUUUUUCAUCCUUGUCUGCUUCAAAUGUAGAAUUGUUUUUCUAUAAAUGCAGACAUGGUAGAUUUUCAUUCUAUUGUACUUGUUUUCAAAAACUUGAGAAUGCAGUGUUUGUCAU